AAUAUACUCCCUUCAUACGGAAAUACUUGUCAUAAGAAUGGAUGUAUCUAGAUGNNNUUUAGUUCUAGAUACAUUUAUUUUUAUUCAUUUGUGCGGCAAGUAAUUUCGGACGGA
rnacentral:pre_miRNA from 1 species